rnacentral:rRNA from 1 species
CUGCUGCCUCCCGUAGGAGUCUGGGCCGUGUCUCAGUCCCAAUGUGGCCGGCCAACCUCUCAGUCCGGCUACUGAUCGUCGCCUUGGUGGGCCGUUGCCCCACCAACUAGCUAAUCAGACGCGAGUCCAUCNCAGAGCGAUAAAUCUUUGGCAGUCAGAGCCAUGCGACUCAACUGCAUCAUGCGGUAUUAGCAGCUGUUUCCAACUGUUAUUCCCCACUCCAAGGCAGGUUA